rfam:Hepatitis C virus isolate NK46, complete genome
AAAGCUCAUUGCUCAGGGGGGGAAAGCUGCUAUCUGCGGUAAGUACCUCUUCAACUGGGCUGUUAAGACC